GACGAACCGUGCGAACGUUGUUCGGAAUCACUGGGCUUAAAGGGCGCGUAGGCGGCUAGUCAAGUCAGGGGUGAAAUCGUUCGGCUUAACCGGACAAGUGCCUUUGAUACUGGCUGGCUUGAGGGAGGUAGGGGCAUGUGGAACUUCCGGUGGAGCGGUGAAAUGCGUUGAUAUCGGAAGGAACGCCGGUGGCGAAAGCGACGUGCUGGCCCUCUUCUGACGCUGAGGCGCGAAAGCCAGGGGAGCGAACGGG
rnacentral:rRNA from 1 species